ensembl:lncRNA
UCUUAAAUUGUAAUAUUUCACAAUACAGCUCUAUUAUUAUUAUACUAUAUAUUGUUUAAAUAAAUGUAAAUCUUUGGUGAGCAUAAGAAAAAAAAAAAUCAGGUUCACACUUUAGGCUUUAACAGCUUUUAAAUCUAAUGACUUUAUUAUGUAAAAGAACUUUACAUAAGAAAGAACAUCAUAACGUCAUGACACCUGAAAGUAUCAGAACAAUAUUUGUCUACACCAUUUAUACCAGACAUAAUUUCAUCAUCUUUGUGGCUGUACACCCUGUUUCCAACAUUUCCAAGUUCAGACCCUGCUAAAAGGAGCUUGAAGCUUUGAGAAGUUUUCAGCAAAUGACCCUGAAAUCUGCAGCACUGUCAAGGUCUAAUGUGGGGGAAAGGUGGAAGUUGGAGACAAAGUUUCCAGAUUUUGUUGAUACCAUCAGACUGAAUCUAUCAGAACCACCAAGAAAUAACAUUUGUAAUAGUUUAUUCCCUAAUGCUAUUCUUCUGAGGUUAACGAAGGUCAUUUAAGAGCAAACAUCCCUCUUUAAAAUCAGUUUUACAGUCAGGUAUCAUCUAAAAUCACUUAAGCUUGUUUUAAAAAUAGAGUUGAGGUCAGGCAAAUACUGUUGCAGUAGUAAUAAUAUUAGAGAAUGCAAAACUAUUCUAAUGCAAAGAAAACGGUCCCAUUUCUACCCAAUUAACACAAGGUAUAAAAAGCAUGAGAUACAUUCUUAGUGAUGUGCUGAUAAAAGGCAAGUCCUUUCAUAUCAAAUCCAAAACAUGAUCUUCAGGAUGAUCGUCUGCAUAUUGUACAUAUUCCCUUUACAGAAAAUGAAUAACUCAUAGACUUGUUUAGAAAGACUCAAAACGCUUCUUUAAAGUAAAAAUAAGCUACACCACCAAGCCAUUCCAGUUCAAUCUGAGUUACACUGCAUGAACCGUCUGCAUUGUUCUGAUGGUUUGAAUGAAAAGCCAGUCAUAAUGAGAAGGGAAUGUGUAAAACAAAGUUGCAUUGACAAAUGAGAGUCAUUACAUUAACAACGAAUAACAAAAUUGGCAUACAAACUCAUUGUAACAUACAUAAAAUGCUGGAAUUACACUGCUUUUAAUGGCAGAGUAACAUACGUCUUACUAGUUCUGUAGUUUUACUCAAUCUAGAAUCAUUAAUCGAAGAAUCAAAUGUCAGACUGGCUCAAAUUUUCAAUAUCCGUUUAUCUCUAGUCUUUUGUGCUUUAAUGCAGUUGGCUUCAUCUUUUACACUGAAUGGCUGUGAUAUACCAGAACCAAAGCAUCAGUACAUAAUCAAAUAUUGUAAACAUAAUAUCCGAGAGCAUUAACACACAUCUGUUCUGCUUGGCAAAUGGAGUGGUUUUCAAAGCCUCUUAAAAGCCUUUUAGUGCUGUGAUAUAAUGUACUGCCAGUAUUUUUCUUGAUUUUUUAAAUAUAUUCUUAAAGUAAAAACAUGUUCUGAUCAUACAGCAAGGCGAUCUCACUAAGCCAGUCAAAAACAUAUCCAGGACAUAUUUUCACACACAAUAUUUUCACAAAAAAAGGAAAUUAUAUAUUACAUAAAGAAGUCUAUAUUUAGGAACAUCAGGAUUUAUGGCAUUGUGAAAUUAUUCUCAAAUAAGUAUUAAAAAUAACUGAAUGAUUGAUGAUUUUUAUAUUUGAUAACCGAAAAUUUUUCAUAAUUAAUCAGCAAAAAUUACCAGGAGUGAAUGAAAUUCACUUUUUUAUAAAUUAACUUUUAAAUAAUAUAAUUUAUUAUUUGGUUAUAUUUUAUACAAAGCAAAUUUUUAUUAUAUACUAU